UACGUGGGAGACGAGCGUUGUCCGGAGUUACUGGGCGUAAAGGGUGCGCAGGUGGCGGCGCGCGUGGGGGGUGAAAUCGCCCGGCUUAACUGGGCGGGGGCCUUCCAGACGGCGUGGCUUGAGCAGCGGAGGGGGACGUGGAAUUCCGGGUGGAGCGGUGAAAUGCGUAGAGAUCCGGAGGAACACCGACGGCGCAGGCAGCGUCCUGGCCGCUUGCUGACACUGAGGCACGAAAGCUAGGGGAGCAAACAGG
rnacentral:rRNA from 1 species